rnacentral:misc_RNA from 1 species
AAGUCGUAACAAGGUAUCCGUAGGUGAACCUGCGGAAGGAUCAUUAUAAAAAUAUGAUUAAAAUUUGCUUGAGAUUGAUGGUUCACAACUAAAAAGAACCACCCGUGUUACUUCAAAGUAAAGCGUCAUUUAAAAACAAAGUAAACCUUUUUGAAAAACAAACAACUUUUGACGAUGGAUCUCUCGGCUCUCU